rnacentral:lncRNA from 10 species
AUUAUGAUAUACUUGCUUUGGUUUCUCUGCUGAAAUGUUGAUCAAUGUGUUCCUCAAUGAAAUGAAAUGUUCAUCAAUGUCUUCUGGAGAGAGGAGAACGAGAUAAGAGACAGAAGCAGCAUUUAAAGAAACACUGGUCAGGAAAUCUUCAACUUUGAAAGAAAACAUCAACCUACAGAUUCAAGAUGUACUUCAGACCUAAGCACCGUAAGUACAAAGAACAUCAGACCAAGGCCUAGUCAAGACAAUGAAACCCAGAAACAUACAGCGCCUGUUAAAAUAAUACAGAGGAAAAGACAAUAGCGUCUUCAAAGGAGCAACAACACUGGCAGCUUACCUUUCAACAAAAUGAUAAAAUAUAGAAGACAGUCAAAUGCUAUAUUUAAUUGGCUGAAAUGAGACAAAAAUGCCACUUGCAGAAUUUUGCUCUCAGCAAAAUAUUCUUCAAAAUUAAAAGUGAAUGUUAUUUUCAUACCAUAUACAUAAUGGAAUAUUAUUCAGCCUUUAAAAAGAAUGAGAUCUUGUCAUUUGCCACAACAUGGAUGGAACCGGA